AAAAUGCUUCAACAGUGUGAUAAUGUAAUCACAAGGGCAACUGGCCCAGGAAUCCUGUCUACGGAAAAGGGACAGCAAAUGAGGUGGUUGGCAUGGUAGUUAUGGCAACAAGGUUAUUAGCAUUUGAAGUGAAGGAGUCAUCAGUGUGAGGAGAAGGUGAUGAGACUGGGACAGGGAGAGGGGAGGAGAAACCCAUCAGAGUAUCAACACUGAUCAUGGCAAGGAUAUCAGGUUUAUCUCUCUGGUGUGUGACAAACUGUCAGGGCAGGCAGACACCCAGCCUUCUCCUGGGCUGACCUCAAAAUGACCCAAUGAUGCCAGCUGCGAGAAAGGUCCAGCUUUCCUGAGGAAUGAACAUGGCCCGAGGAUGAACAGUUACAACCUCCUCCUCCCUUCCUGUGAGGACCAAAC